rnacentral:rRNA from 1 species
ACGGGGUGCGCAGGCGCGAAAACUUCACAAUGUGCGAAAGCGCGAUGAGGGAAUCCCAAGUGCUUGCACGUAAGUGUAAGCUGUUUUUAUGUUUAAAACGCAUGGAGAGUAAGAGCUGGGUAAGACGGGUGCCAGCCGCCGCGGUAAUACCUGCAGCUCAAGUGGUGGCCACUAUUAUUGGGCCUAAAACGUCCGUAGCCUGUUUAAUAAAUGCCUGGGUAAAUCGUGUAGCUUAACUAUACGAAUUCCGGGUAGACUGUUAAACUUGAGACCGGGAGAAGUUAGAGGUACUCCUGGGGUAGAGGUGAAAUUCUGUAAUCCUAGGGGGACCACCGGUGGCGAAGGCGUCUGACUAGAACGGGUCUGACGGUGAGGGACGAAGCCCUGGGGCGCAAACCGGAUUAGAUACCCGGGUAGUCCAGGGUGUAAACGCUGCUUGCUUGAUGUUAGUCGGGCUCCGAGCCCGAUUAGUGUCGGAGAGAAGUUGUUAAGCAAGCUGCCUGGAAGUACGUCGCAAGGC